rnacentral:piRNA from 1 species
UUGGUCUAUUGUCUCACCGAGUGGAGGC